rnacentral:rRNA from 1 species
ACGGCUCAGUAACACGUGGACAACCUGCCCUCGGGUGGGGGAUAACCCCGGGAAACUGGGGCUAAUCCCCCAUAGGGGAUGGGUACUGGAAUGUCCCAUCUCCGAAAGCGCUUAGCGCCCGAGGAUGGGUCUGCGGCGGAUUAGGUUGUUGGUGGGGUAACGGCCCACCAAGCCGAAGAUCCGUACGGGCCAUGAGAGUGGGAGCCCGGAGAUGGACCCUGAGACACGGGUCCAGGCCCUACGGGGCGCAGCAGGCGCGAAACCUCCGCAAUGCGGGAAACCGCGACGGGGUCAGCCGGAGUGCUCGCGCAUCGCGCGGGCUGUCGGGGUGCCUAAAAAGCACCCCAUAGCAAGGGCCGGGCAAGGCCGGUGGCAGCCGCCGCGGUAAUACCGGCGGCCCGAGUGGCGGCCACUUUUAUUGGGCCUAAAGCGUCCGUAGUCGGGCUGGUAAGUCCUCCGGGAAAUCUGGUCGCUUAACGAUCAGACUGCCGGAGGAUACUGCCAGCCUAGGGACCGGGAGAGGCCGGGGGUAUUCCCGGGGUAGGGGUGAAAUCCUGUAAUCCCGGGAGGACCACCUGUGGCGAAGGCGCCCGGCUGGAACGGGUCCGACGGUGAGGGACGAAGGCCAGGGGAGCGAACCGGAUUAGAUACCCGGGUAGUCCUGGCUGUAAACGAUGCGGACUAGGUGUCACCGAAGCUACGAGCUUCGGUGGUGCCGGAGGGAAGCCGUUAAGUCCGCCGCCUGGGGAGUACGGCCGCAAGGCUGAAACUUAAAGGAAUUGGCGGGGGAG